GCUCCGGUGGCGUAGUGGUUAGAGCGUUCGCUUCGGAUGCAGGAGCUGGCGAGUUCGAAUCCCGGCUGAGUCA